rnacentral:rRNA from 1 species
UACAGAGGUCUCAAGCGUUGUUCGGAUUCAUUGGGCGUAAAGGGUGCGUAGGCGGCGCGGUAAGUCGGGUGUGAAAUCUCGGAGCUUAACUCCGAAACUGCAUUCGAUACUGCCGUGCUUGAGGACUGGAGAGGAGACUGGAAUUUACGGUGUAGCGGUGAAAUGCGUAGAUAUCGUAAGGAAGACCAGUGGCGAAGGCGGGUCUCUGGACAGUUCCUGACGCUGAGGCGCGAAAGCUAGGGGAGCAAACGGG